rnacentral:siRNA from 1 species
AAACCUGAUUGUUCUGAGACUA